rnacentral:rRNA from 1 species
CCCUAUGGGGUGCGCUCGCGGGUGUAUUAACGUCCAGGGGCCGGGGCCGUCCGUUUGUGCUGAUUGGGGGCGCGAUACUCCUCAUGAUCGGACUGGUAUCCCUCAUUCUUGGGAUAAGUUUUUCCAUUAUGGGCGGGGCGUAUGCGCUAUGGUAUCCGUUGACGCUUUUCGGCGGCAUUAACGUGGCGGUGAUGUUGCCGCUUCUUUUUGGCAGUAUGCGCCGUUACCGGGCGGUGGAACAACAGCGAAUGUCCGCGCGGGAUCGCGCGGAUAGUUUGUAAGGCGGCGGAAUGCGGUUAUAGGGCGUUGGGCGGGAGGGC